UGGGAACUGCAUUCGAAACUGGCAGGCUUGAGUCUUGUAGAGGGGGGUAGAAUUCCAGGUGUAGCGGUGAAAUGCGUAGAGAUCUGGAGGAAUACCGGUGGCGAAGGCGGCCCCCUGGACAAAGACUGACGCUCAGGUGCGAAAGCGUGGGGAGCAAACAGGAUUAGAUACCCUGGUAGUCCACGCCGUAAACGAUGUCUACUUGGAGGUUGUGCCCUUGAGGCGUGGCUUCCGGAGCUAACGCGUUAAGUAGACCGCCUGGGGAGUACGGCCGCAAGGUUAAAACUCAAAUGAAUUGACGGGGGCCCGCACAAGCGGUGGAGCAUGUGGUUUAAUUCGAUGCAACGCGAAGAACC
rnacentral:rRNA from 3 species